rnacentral:rRNA from 1 species
AGAACGAACGCUGGCGGCAUGCCUAACACAUGCAAGUCGAACGAGACCUUCGGGUCUAGUGGCGCACGGGUGCGUAACGCGUGGGAAUCUGCCCCUUGGUUCGGAAUAACUCAGAGAAAUUUGAGCUAAUACCGGAUGAUGACGUAAGUCCAAAGAUUUAUCGCCAAGGGAUGAGCCCGCGUAGGAUUAGCUAGUUGGUGAGGUAAAGGCUCACCAAGGCGACGAUCCUUAGCUGGUCUGAGAGGAUGAUCAGCCACACUGGGACUGAGACACGGCCCAGACUCCUACGGGAGGCAGCAGUGGGGAAUAUUGGACAAUGGGCGAAAGCCUGAUCCAGCAAUGCCGCGUGAGUGAUGAAGGCCUUAGGGUUGUAAAGCUCUUUGUCAGGGAAGAAACGGUUCUGGCUAAUACCGUGGAGCUAAUGACGGUACCUGAAGAAUAAGCACCGGCUAACUACGUGCCAGCAGCCG